rnacentral:rRNA from 1 species
CCCUUAGAUGUCCUGGGCUGCACGCGCGCUACACUGGAAGUUACGGAUUGAGAUACUACCUUGUCCGAAAUGGUCCGGGUAAUCACCUAAAAGCUUGUCAUAAUUGGAAUGGAUUAUUGUAACUAGUAAUCCUGAACGAGGAAUUCCUAGUAAGUCCCAGUCAACAGCUGGUACUGAUUACGUCCCUGCCCUUUGUACACACCGCCCGUCGCUACUACUGAUUGGACGUUUAAGCAAGAUUUUUAAACACUGACAGUGUGUAGUUCACGCUAUACUACAGUGAGAAGAAGAAGAUCGAGCUUACGUGUCUAGAGGAAGUAAAAGUCGUAACA